GGUUCCCGUAACCAAGUUUUUCUUUCUCACUCCUUAUGUACUUUUUUUUACUUCAUCCAUACUUUUUUACUUUUUCUGAAGUGUGGGGCAAACGGCGCCCUCUACUUCUACUUCUAACUAAAGGCGAACAGCCGGCAUUGCAAGCAAAUAGAAAGCCCCCGCCCCUUUGAGCCGGAAAGCGUACCGGCUGUUUGAGUCGCGAAAGGGCCGCUUGCUUAAUAUUAUUUAGAUAUGAUAUAUAAUAAUAAUAGA
rnacentral:lncRNA from 1 species